rnacentral:rRNA from 1 species
GACGAACGCUGUCGGCGUGCUUAACACAUGCAAGUCGAACGGAAAGGCCCUGCUUUUGUGGGGUGCUCGAGUGGCGAACGGGUGAGUAACACGUGAGUAACCUGCCCUUGACUUUGGGAUAACUUCAGGAAACUGGGGCUAAUACCGGAUAGGAGCUCCUGCUGCAUGGUGGGGGUUGGAAAGUUUCGGCGGUUGGGGAUGGACUCGCGGCUUAUCAGCUUGUUGGUGGGGUAGUGGCUUACCAAGGCUUUGACGGGUAGCCGGCCUGAGAGGGUGACCGGCCACAUUGGGACUGAGAUACGGCCCAGACUCCUACGGGAGGCAGCAGUGGGGAAUAUUGCACAAUGGGCGGAAGCCUGAUGCAGCAACGCCGCGUGCGGGAUGACGGCCUUCGGGUUGUAAACCGCUUUCGCCUGUGACGAAGCGUGAGUGACGGUAAUGGGUAAAGAAGCACCGGCUAACUACGUGCCAGCAGCCGCGGCGAUACGUAGGGUGCGAGCGUUGUCCGGAUUUAUUGGGCGUAAAGGGCUCGUAGGUGGUUGAUCGCGUCGGAAGUGUAAUCUUGGGGCUUAACCCUGAGCGUGCUUUCGAUACGGGUUGACUUGAGGAAGGUAGGGGAGAAUGGAAUUCCUGGUGGAGCGGUGGAAUGCGCAGAUAUCAGGAGGAACACCAGUGGCGAAGGCGGUUCUCUGGGCCUUUCCUGACGCUGAGGAGCGAAAGCGUGGGGAGCGAACAGGCUUAGAUACCCUGGUAGUCCACGCUGUAAACGGUGGGUACUAGGUGUGGGGUCCAUUCCACGGGUUCCGUGCCGUAGCUAACGCUUUAAGUACCCCGCCUGGGGAGUACGGCCGCAAGGCUAAAACUCAAAGGAAUUGACGGGGCCCCGCACAAGCGGCGGAGCAUGCGGAUUAAUUCGAUGCAACGCGUAGAACCUUACCUGGGUUUGACAUGGAUCGGGAGUGCUCAGAGAUGGGUGUGCCUCUUUUGGGGUCGGUUCACAGGUGGUGCAUGGCUGUCGUCAGCUCGUGUCGUGAGAUGUUGGGUUAAGUCCCGCAACGAGCGCAACCCUUGUUCACUGUUGCCAGCACGUUAUGGUGGGGACUCAGUGGAGACCGCCGGGGUCAACUCGGAGGAAGGUGGGGAUGACGUCAAGUCAUCAUGCCCCUUAUGUCCAGGGCUUCACGCAUGCUACAAUGGCUGGUACAGAGAGUGGCGAGCCUGUGAGGGUGAGCGAAUCUCGGAAAGCCGGUCUCAGUUCGGAUUGGGGUCUGCAACUCGACCUCAUGAAGUCGGAGUCGCUAGUAAUCGCAGAUCAGCAACGCUGCGGUGAAUACGUUCCCGGG